rnacentral:rRNA from 1 species
CCAUGCAGUCGAACGGCAGCGCGGGGGCAACCCUGGCGGCGAGUGGCGAACGGGUGAGUAAUACAUCGGAACGUGUCCUGGAGUGGGGGAUAGCCCGGCGAAAGCCGGAUUAAUACCGCAUACGAUCCACGGAUGAAAGCGGGGGACCGAAAGGCCUCGCGCUCAAGGAGCGGCCGAUGGCGGAUUAGCUAGUUGGUGGGGUAAAGGCCCACCAAGGCGACGAUCCGUAGCUGGUCUGAGAGGACGACCAGCCACACUGGGACUGAGACACGGCCCAGACUCCUACGGGAGGCAGCAGUGGGGAAUUUUGGACAAUGGGCGAAAGCCUGAUCCAGCAAUGCCGCGUGUGUGAAGAAGGCCUUCGGGUUGUAAAGCACUUUUGUCCGGAAAGAAAACUUCGCCUCUAAUACAGGUGGAGGAUGACGGUACCGGAAGAAUAAGCACCGGCUAACUACGUGCCAGCAGCCGCGGUAAUACGUAGGGUGCAAGCGUUAAUCGGAAUUACUGGGCGUAAAGCGUGCGCAGGCGGUGAUGUAAGACCGAUGUGAAAUCCCCGGGCUUAACCUGGGAACUGCAUUGGUGACUGCAUUGCUAGAGUAUGGCAGAGGGGGGUGGAAUUCCACGUGUAGCAGUGAAAUGCGUAGAGAUGUGGAGGAACACCGAUGGCGAAGGCAGCCCCCUGGGCCAAUACUGACGCUCAUGCACGAAAGCGUGGGGAGCAAACAGGAUUAGAUACCCUGGUAGUCCACGCCCUAAACGAUGUCAACUGGUUGUUGGGGAUUCAUUUCCUUAGUAACGAAGCUAACGCGUGAAGUUGACCGCCUGGGGAGUACGGUCGCAAGAUUAAAACUCAAGGGA